rnacentral:tRNA from 2 species
ACUUAAAUAGCUUAAUAAGAGCGUAACGUUGAAGGUGUUAAAGUGAUAAUUAUAUCUUUAAGUG